CAACGCAUGAGAUCCCCUUGCGCCGCAUGUUGGCGCAUCUUGAUCACAGGUCACGUGUCAAAGCGAUUCGCGCACAAGGUCGCGUGCCACCGACGCGCCGGUUUUGCGCAUCUAUUGCUUUCUUAUCCACGAAGUGGCCCGCCAGGACAUUUGCAUUUGCCCGCCGCAAAAACCAUAGUUGGAACUUUUGAAAAUCCAUUGGCCAGCCUUGGUUUACAGUAUUUGCCGUGCCUUGGAGUCCAUGAGUUCUGCGUUGAUGUGUUACCCUGAAUCGUAGAAUAAUAUUUUAAAAUUCAAACUGAACUCUUAAAAUCUCCCCGAGAUGUCGCUAGAAUGUCCGUUAAAACUAAAAAUAUUCCCGCGAUCAUAUCGUUGUUGUAAUGUUUUGUACACAUGGGCCAUCGCAGCGGAUUUUAUCAACGCACGUCCACUUUAUCUCAUUUCGCGCUUGAAAUGUUAGGCAAAAUUUAUUUAAAAUAAUAAAUGUAAAGAAUAUGUGAA